rnacentral:rRNA from 1 species
AUUGAACGCUGGCGGCAGGCCUAACACAUGCAAGUCGAGCGGAGCGGCGGACGGGUGAGUAAUGUCUAGGAAUCUGCCCGGUAGUGGGGGAUAACGUCCGGAAAGGGGAGCUAAUACCGCAUACUAUCAGAUGAGCCGAGGUCGGAUUAGCUAGUUGGUGGGGUAAAGGCCUACCAAGGCGACGAUCCGUAACUGGUUUGAGAGGAUGAUCAGUCACACUGGAACUGAGACACGGUCCAGACUCCUACGGGAGGCAGCAGUGGGGAAUAUUGGACAAUGGGCGAAAGCCUGAUCCAGCCAUGCCGCGUGUGUGAUGAAGGUCUUCGGGUUGUAAAGCACUUUUAGUUGGGAGGCGUUACCAGCAGAAUAAGCACCGGCUAACUUCGUGCCAGCAGCCGCGGUAAUUC